GGCCCCGCCCGGGGUCCGAGUUGUAAUUUGGAGAGGACGCUUCGGCGGUGGCCCCGGGGACAGUUCCCUGGAACGGGACGCCACAGAGGGUGAGAGCCCCGUACGGCCCGGGUGUCCGCCGCCACGCGUAGCGCCUUCGACGAGUCGAGUUGUUUGGGAAUGCAGCUCUAAGCGGGAGGUAAAUUUCUUCUAAGGCUAAAUACCGGCCAGAGACCGAUAGCGCACAAGUAGAGUGAUCGAAAGAUGAAAAGCACUUUGGAAAGAGAGUCAAACAGCACGUGAAAUUGUUGAAAGGGAAGCUCUUGCUGCCAGACAUGCCGCGGUCGCUCAGCCGCCCCCCGGGGCGGUGUACUCGUCCGCGGCGGGCCAGCGUCAGUUCGGGCGGUCGGAGAAAGGCCCGGGGAAGGUAGCUCCCUGCGGGGAGUGUUAUAGCCCCGGGCGGCAUGCGGCCAGCCCGGUCUGAGGCCCGCGUUCGCGAGGACGCUGGCGUAAUGGUCGCAAGCGACCCGUCUUGAAACACGGACCAAGGAGUCUAACAUCUGUGCGAGUGUUCGGGUGUCAAACCCGUACGCGCAAUGAAAGUGAACGGAGGUGGGACCCCGCGAGGGCGCACCAUCGACCGAUCCUGAUGUCCUCGGAUGGAUUUGAGUAGGAGCAUAGCUGUUGGGACCCGAAAGAUGGUGAACUAUGCGUGUUUAGGGUGAAGCCAGAGGAAACUCUGGUGGAGG
rnacentral:rRNA from 2 species